rnacentral:rRNA from 1 species
GAUGAACGCUGGCGGCGUGCCUAAUACAUGCAAGUCGAGCGAACGGACGAGAAGCUUGCUUUUCUGAUGUUAGCGGCGGACGGGUGAGUAACACGUGGAUAAUCUACCUAUAAUACUGGGAUAAUCUCGGGAAACCGGAGCUAAUACCGGAUAAUAUCUUGAACCGCAUGGUUCAAAAGUGAAAGACGGUCUUGCUGUCACUUAUAGAUGGAUCCGCGCUGCAUUAGCUAGUUGGUAAGGUAACGGCUUACCAAGGGAACGAUGCAUAGCCGAGCUGAGAGAGUGGUCGGCCACACUGGAACUGAAACGCGGUCCAGGCUCCUGCGGGAGGCAGCAGUAGGGUAUCUUCCGCAAUGGGCGAAAACCUGACGCAGCAGCGCCGCGUGAGUGAUGAAGGUCUUCGGAUCGUAAAACUCUGUUAUGAGGGGAAAACAUAUGUGUAAGUAACUGUGCACAUCUUGACGGUACCUAAUCAGAAAGCCACGGCUAACUACGUG